rnacentral:rRNA from 1 species
CUGCUCAAUGAUUUUUUAAAUUGCUGUGGUAUUUUGACUAUACAAAGGUAUUGAAAUAAGAUUUUAAUUGAAUGCUAAGAGAAUGGAAUUUCAGAAAAAAACUUUUUUCAAGUUAAAAAUUGAAAUUUUUUUAAUUUGUGCAGAAACAAUUAUUAAUAUUAAGGACAAGAAGACCCUAUGAAUUUAUAAAUUUUAUUUAAUAUGUAACUACUAUUAAAAAAAUUUUGGCUGGGGCGGCGGAAAAAUAUUUAAAACUUUUUUAAAAUAAAAUGACCCAUUAUUAAUGAUUAUAUGUUAAAUACUCUAGGGAUAACAGCGU